UUGUAGUGAAGUGUAUUCAAACUUGCUUGUAGUUUGAGUGGAUCUACACUGCUAUAUAAUAAAUGAAACACAAGGGCCUGGUGUCUUUGAGUAUUGCCUCACAGGUAGUAUAUGUUUCAUACAUUA